GAACCAACCAACCAAGACUUCCCGGAACCAACAUGGAGCUGGAAUCACCCAUGACUUGCUGUGCAGGGGCUGAGGGAUCAACAGAACGGCAGGUGCAAAAGAGUUGAUGGCUUCUGGAGCCUGCAUCUCCAACAAAUGAAAAAUGAAAGUGGUCUGUGUGAUUUCCCAUUGACUCUUUCCUGCUCCACUGGGAAUCCCUGGAUUGAAGAGCAGGGUAACAAAUGUUCAGAAUGAAUGAAUGAAAACAGGAAGCAGAUCUCUAGAGGCCAACUUGUACACCUCCCUUCAAGGCUGCAACCCACUAGUGUGACCAUGUUGGCGGUGGCCUGCAGCUAGAUUUCUUGACCGCUCUUGCUGGCAUUGCCACCAACCACCUACCUGCCUGCCUCUGCAGCCCCCACUCACCUGAGGAUUCAUCACCACUGGCAAAGAGCCAGCUUCGACGCGGUCUGAUUAUGUCACCAUCUGACAUGUGGCACUGAGUGGUGAUGUUGUUGUUGUUGUUAUUAUUAUUUAGUUAA